rnacentral:lncRNA from 1 species
GACACACAACACCCACCAUAUAAUACUUUGAACAAAACUAGAGGUACAUCCAAACCAAUAUAGUAGGUCCCACUUACCUUGCGUAUAUGUGUGUGAGAAAGAGAUAGGAAAAGAAAGAGAGAAGUGCUUAAAGUUAAAGAGUUCGCAUAAGUGGGAUUAAGAAUGGGCAAGGUAGCUAUGGAGCCCCCAAGUUAGUUAAGGGAAAUCAUGCCAACCCCACUUCUCGUAGGGGUCCAUUUGAUAAAUGAGAUGAUGGCACUUGCGUAACCACAAAAGAUGGAGCAGAUGUGACAGAAUGUAGAAGUUGGACUUAAGAGUAGGGCCACCCUUUAGAUAAUAAGAAAUGAAGAUUAUAUGAGGAAAGGUCGAAGAUACAUCCACCUCUACUCACCAUUUGCUUUCUAUCCAUCCACGUCAGAUCACCAUUUGUUUUCUACAUGUCACACACAUAAACAUAGAUACAACUACAUAAAUAUUGAUACAAUUACAGAUCCGGGCCAAGUAGGAAUUUCAGAAUGUUUUGAUUUUACAAAGUGCUAGCAUUUCCUUUGGAAUAGGGGAUAGAGGAAAAGAAAAAGAUUUGAUCAAAAUUUUCAAUCAAGUUGUUUCUAAUCAGAAUUCAAAACAGGACGAAAUGGGAAGGAUUUAGGGAAUUUGACUACAUGUUUAUUGUUCCCCAAAAUGUGAUAAUUUGAGUGGAAUUACUUUAACAAUGAAAAAAAAAAUCUACAUUACCCUCAAUUUUAAUAAGAAGGAUAAGAACUGUCAGAAAACUUGAUCAUAUCUAAAUUCCAUUGAAUAGCAAACAAAGAGAAAAUGAUCCAACUUCUUUCAUUUUCCUUCCAUAAAUUAUUACAUCCAGUUUUCUGAAACCAAAUGGGACAGUGGGUCAACUCCUAUUCUCUCCCUCGCCAUACAUUUGAUGGGUUACACUUCAUUCAAAAGUAUUCAUAUCCAACACACACAGAGGAAGAUGGAAUUAGUAUACAUAGAAAGGAAAAAACAAUAGCAGAGGAGAUUUCCCCCAACACCAAUAAAAUGAAAAAAUUAAGCUUUUGUAAAUUAGAGAAUUCCCACUUUCUCAGGGCAGGAAUCAAUACCCACCAAAAAUUGAUAGUUUAUUAUAUUCCAAAUUCUUAUCAUACAUUUGAAGGAAAGAAAUUCUCAUGGCAGUUCAAAGAAUUUAAGAACAUAAAUCCAAAUUAUUAUUUGGAAAAAAAGAAGAAAAAACAAGAAUCGUUAAAUUAGGAAUGUUAAUAGUGAUUCAAACAGACGGAAAUGGCCGUAAAAGAAAUAAUCAAAUUGUAGAAGUACGAUAAUUGUGAUAAAGGAAAAAAAAUACCGAAAGAUUCAAUAUAUAAAGUCGAAAGAUUGCGAAGAACCGUACCAUCCACUCGAACUCGGCCGAGUCCCACUCGAUCUGGGCCGACUCAGCUCCCCCUGAUCCGAUUCACCACCUCUCCGCAUCCUCUCGUGCCCACCCGACUUGGGCCUCUGCUCUUCCCCAUACCGGUUCGGCGAUCCGAAAUUCCCUUGCCGGUUAGGCCGGAUCUGGAACUCCAGCCCAGGUUUCUCCUCCCUGCCCACGAACCCCGGCCGCAGAUGCGGCGGAACGAACCGAUCCGGCUUCGACGGAGACGAGGGAGAUGGUGAACCGGCCUGAGCCCGGCCCAGUGGUAGAGGAGCCAAGGAAUCCUGCUCGGGCCGGGCCUGGAUGGGAGGUGGCGGCGGUUGCUGCUUCUGUGGCGGCGGUAGUUGGGGCUGGGCCUUGGGGGUAGGGCGGCUUAAUACGAGCAUUCCUCCAUGUGUUCGGGUGGCAGCGAGAUGCGAUUUGUAAGAAUUUGAUGGAGAUGAUGAAGAAGAAGAAGGGGCGGAGGUGGCAGUGGUGGCGGCGGUGGAAUGGGAGUUGUUGUGGAAGAGGUGAUUGAAAUUGAUGGAGGCGUAUUUGUUGGUUCUUGUUGCCAUCCACCACCACCGACGCGAAGGAAAAGAGAGAGAGAGUUGAGAGGAGGCACAAACUACGAAAGGAAAAGGCAACUAGGAUUUCAAAACCACGGUCUGGCCAUUUCUUGUAACAUAUAUGUUC